GGAUGAGCCCGCGGCCUACCAGCUUGUUGGUGGGGUAAUGGCCUACCAAGGCGUCGACGGGUAGCCGGCCUGAGAGGGUGGACGGCCACAUUGGGACUGAGACACGGCCCAGACUCCUACGGGAGGCAGCAGUGGGGAAUAUUGCACAAUGGGCGCAAGCCUGAUGCAGCGACGCCGCGUGGGGGAUGACGGCCUUCGGGUUGUAAACUCCUUUCAACCAUGACGAAGCUUUCGGGUGACGGUAGUGGUAGAAGAAGCACCGGCUAACUACGUGCCAGCAGCCGCGGC
rnacentral:rRNA from 1 species